rnacentral:rRNA from 1 species
AGCGUAGGCGGGUUUGUAAGUUGAAUGUGAAAUCUAUGGGCUCAACCCAUAAACUGCGUUCAAAACUACAGAUCUUGAGUGGAGUAGAGGCAGGCGGAAUUCCUAGUGUAGCGGUGAAAUGCGUAGAUAUUAGGAGGAACACCAGUGGCGAAGGCGGCCUGCUGGGCUCUGACUGACGCUGAGGCUCGAAAGCGUGGGUAGCAAACA